GGUGCGAUAAAGCCACAAGCUCGCAACUUGCCGCGGCCGGGCGCGGAGAACCCUGGGGCCCGAUAGCGGCGGCGCGAUUAAGCAUAAGUCCAAGGCAGCACGCCCGGACCAUUCGUAAACGACUUGGUUCUCGGGAGAGGCGUAUUAAUUCGCGAGAGCGGACAUCGUUUCCGCGAUCCGAUGAGACCAACCUCACGCCCGGACGGACCAUUCGUAAACGACUUGGUUCUCGGGAGAGGCGUAUUAAUUCGCGAGAGCGGACAUCGUUUCCGCGAUCCGAUGAGACCAACCUCACGCCCGGACGGUCCGUCUUGUCGUCUAGACAGGACCCUCCGCGCGGUCAGACGUUGUUCUCCUCUCCUCGCCGCUCGCUCCGCGCGGGCGGCGAGGGUCCUCCCCUCCCCCACA
rnacentral:lncRNA from 1 species